CCCGAAGAGAGGCGACAGGAGGAUAAGGGAUGCCGAGAUGGUCUCCAUUCGCUUCCAGCCCCCCACCGCACCCCUCUCUACCCUCUGAUUUGCACCCGCGAUCAGGCUGCAGCACCAGCCCUCGAAACGUGGAGAGACACUUAUAAGGCUCCGCCGACCCAGGGCCAGCUACGGUGCGCUAUGUUCCAUGCCCAUGGAGUUGGGUUUCCCCUUGGCAGGGAUAUGUAUCAGCAAUUCACACGAAACGCGAUACCCGCGGCUCAGCCCUCCAAAGGCGAGAACAGGACUGUCCCGUGCCCACUAGAGGUCACCAUAAAGAGUCAUUCGCUCUGGUUCCUGUGUGGAUUCUUAGUGAAAAUUGGAAUGCUGCCUCUGACAAAAGUCUCUCUGGGUGGUUCUUAAAGAUGAAAAUCUCUGUGAGCUGUUUAUCCCCGAGACUUGGGUAAUUCAUUUUAAAAGCACUUAAUGGAUUAAAAAAAAAAUCUCAAAAACAAAAGAGUUGCUUAUCCGAUAACUACUGAACAAAGAAAGCAUCCCGAAGGAAGUGAAUCCAAGGCAGAAUGGAAGGAGGGCUGGCCAACAUGGGCUGCAUUCAUACUAAAACCAUGAAAAAAGCAGCUGCGAUCAUCAGUGAGAAGUGCCAUAUGAGCCCAGGCAAUGACUUCCACACCCCCAAGUGCGUGCACAAAGAGAUCGCCGUUAUUCCAGCAAUAAGCUCUGCAACAAGACAUCACGCUGUGUUAUGAUCUCAUGAAGUGAAUUCAGAGAGGUCCUGUGAGAGGAAUCUCCAUCAAGCCACAAGAAGAAGCCAGAGAGAGAAAAUUAUGUUGCUGAGGUCAGCCAUGGAUCAGGUCACUGAGAUAGAUCCUGACAAUAAGGAAAUGCUACAGCUUUUGGACUUUGGCAGUCUCUCCAAGCUACUCAGCCUACA